rnacentral:rRNA from 1 species
UUAAGCGACUAAGCGUACACGGUGGAUGCCCUGGCAGUCAGAGGCGAUGAAGGACGUGCUAAUCUGCGAUAAGCGUCGGUAAGGUGAUAUGAACCGUUAUAACCGGCGAUUUCCGAAUGGGGAAACCCAGUGUGUUUCGACACACUAUCAUUAACUGAAUCCAUAGGUUAAUGAGGCGAACCGGGGGAACUGAAACAUCUAAGUACCCCGAGGAAAAGAAAUCAACCGAGAUUCCCCCAGUAGCGGCGAGCGAACGGGGAGCAGCCCAGAGCCUGAAUCAGUAUGUGUGUUAGUGGAAGCGUCUGGAAAGGCGCGCGAUACAGGGUGACAGCCCCGUACACAAAAAUGCACAUAUUGUGAGCUCGAUGAGUAGGGCGGGACACGUGGUAUCCUGUCUGAAUAUGGGGGGACCAUCCUCCAAGGCUAAAUACUCCUGACUGACCGAUAGUGAACCAGUACCGUGAGGGAAAGGCGAAAAGAACCCCGGCGAGGGGAGUGAAAAAGAACCUGAAACCGUGUACGUACAAGCAGUGGGAGCACGCUUAGGCGUGUGACUGCGUACCUUUUGUAUAAUGGGUCAGCGACUUAUAUUCUGUAGCAAGGUUAACCGAAUAGGGGAGCCGAAGGGAAACCGAGUCUUAACUGGGCGUUAAGUUGCAGGGUAUAGACCCGAAACCCGGUGAUCUAGCCAUGGGCAGGUUGAAGGUUGGGUAACACUAACUGGAGGACCGAACCGACUAAUGUUGAAAAAUUAGCGGAUGACUUGUGGCUGGGGGUGAAAGGCCAAUCAAACCGGGAGAUAGCUGGUUCUCCCCGAAAGCUAUUUAGGUAGCGCCUCGUGAAUUCAUCUCCGGGGGUAGAGCACUGUUUCGGCAAGGGGGUCAUCCCGACUUACCAACCCGAUGCAAACUGCGAAUACCGGAGAAUGUUAUCACGGGAGACACACGGCGGGUGCUAACGUCCGUCGUGAAGAGGGAAACAACCCAGACCGCCAGCUAAGGUCCCAAAGUCAUGGUUAAGUGGGAAACGAUGUGGGAAGGCCCAGACAGCCAGGAUGUUGGCUUAGAAGCAGCCAUCAUUUAAAGAAAGCGUAAUAGCUCACUGGUCGAGUCGGCCUGCGCGGAAGAUGUAACGGGGCUAAACCAUGCACCGAAGCUGCGGCAGCGACGCUUAUGCGUUGUUGGGUAGGGGAGCGUUCUGUAAGCCUGUGAAGGUGUGCUGUGAGGCAUGCUGGAGGUAUCAGAAGUGCGAAUGCUGACAUAAGUAACGAUAAAGCGGGUGAAAAGCCCGCUCGCCGGAAGACCAAGGGUUCCUGUCCAACGUUAAUCGGGGCAGGGUGAGUCGACCCCUAAGGCGAGGCCGAAAGGCGUAGUCGAUGGGAAACAGGUUAAUAUUCCUGUACUUGGUGUUACUGCGAAGGGGGGACGGAGAAGGCUAUGUUGGCCGGGCGACGGUUGUCCCGGUUUAAGCGUGUAGGCUGGUUUUCCAGGCAAAUCCGGAAAAUCAAGGCUGAGGCGUGAUGACGAGGCACUACGGUGCUGAAGCAACAAAUGCCCUGCUUCCAGGAAAAGCCUCUAAGCAUCAGGUAACAUCAAAUCGUACCCCAAACCGACACAGGUGGUCAGGUAGAGAAUACCAAGGCGCUUGAGAGAACUCGGGUGAAGGAACUAGGCAAAAUGGUGCCGUAACUUCGGGAGAAGGCACGCUGAUAUGUAGGUGAAGUCCCUCGCGGAUGGAGCUGAAAUCAGUCGAAGAUACCAGCUGGCUGCAACUGUUUAUUAAAAACACAGCACUGUGCAAACACGAAAGUGGACGUAUACGGUGUGACGCCUGCCCGGUGCCGGAAGGUUAAUUGAUGGGGUUAGCCGCAAGGCGAAGCUCUUGAUCGAAGCCCCGGUAAACGGCGGCCGUAACUAUAACGGUCCUAAGGUAGCGAAAUUCCUUGUCGGGUAAGUUCCGACCUGCACGAAUGGCGUAAUGAUGGCCAGGCUGUCUCCACCCGAGACUCAGUGAAAUUGAACUCGCUGUGAAGAUGCAGUGUACCCGCGGCAAGACGGAAAGACCCCGUGAACCUUUACUAUAGCUUGACACUGAACAUUGAGCCUUGAUGUGUAGGAUAGGUGGGAGGCUUAGAAGUGUGGACGCCAGUCUGCAUGGAGCCGACCUUGAAAUACCACCCUUUAAUGUUUGAUGUUCUAACGUUGACCCGUAAUCCGGGUUGCGGACAGUGUCUGGUGGGUAGUUUGACUGGGGCGGUCUCCUCCUAAAGAGUAACGGAGGAGCACGAAGGUUGGCUAAUCCUGGUCGGACAUCAGGAGGUUAGUGCAAUGGCAUAAGCCAGCUUGACUGCGAGCGUGACGGCGCGAGCAGGUGCGAAAGCAGGUCAUAGUGAUCCGGUGGUUCUGAAUGGAAGGGCCAUCGCUCAACGGAUAAAAGGUACUCCGGGGAUAACAGGCUGAUACCGCCCAAGAGUUCAUAUCGACGGCGGUGUUUGGCACCUCGAUGUCGGCUCAUCACAUCCUGGGGCUGAAGUAGGUCCCAAGGGUAUGGCUGUUCGCCAUUUAAAGUGGUACGCGAGCUGGGUUUAGAACGUCGUGAGACAGUUCGGUCCCUAUCUGCCGUGGGCGCUGGAGAACUGAGGGGGGCUGCUCCUAGUACGAGAGGACCGGAGUGGACGCAUCACUGGUGUUCGGGUUGUCAUGCCAAUGGCACUGCCCGGUAGCUAAAUGCGGAAGAGAUAAGUGCUGAAAGCAUCUAAGCACGAAACUUGCCCCGAGAUGAGUUCUCCCUGACUCC